rnacentral:lncRNA from 1 species
GAGCUGCCCCCUGUCACUACCUGGAAGGCGAAGCAAAUGCGGCAGGAGAUGAGAUGAAAGAGCAAGUGGAUGGAAAUGCUGGGAGAAUGGGAGACAUAUCAGAACAGCAAAAAAGUCAUGAAGGAGAAGGGCAAGAGGUCCUCUGGACACAUCCACCAGAUCGACCUGGACAUGAGCCGGACAUUAAGGAACCACCUGUUCUUCAGGGACCGAUAUGGAGUCAACGCCUCAUGAAGACGUCCAGGUCUGGCCUGUGGGCACCUUUUCGAGACCAGUUAUUUCAUACCUGAGCCAUGGACGAUGAUCCUGUUCUGAAACACCUUCGGGCCUCUAUGAAGAAACUAACAAGGAAGCAUGGGGACCUGCCACCCCCAGAAACUGAGGAAAUCCCUCUUCAUGCUGAAAGAGCUCACCAACAAAUUCAGGCAGCCUGUGAAACGUUUGAUGUCCGAAGCCAACAGCACAUUCAGAUCCUCAAGCUCUACACCUCCAAUGUGACCUGGGGCUUGCACCACUUCAGGCUCGUGCAGGACUCACAGCCUUUGGACCUCAGCUAAGGGACCUGCUUCUCUGUAGCACAUGGGGCUUGUUUGUGUUGGGGUCUGAGCCCUGAGCUCAUGGUCAAGGAGAACCCCAGGUCCUUCUGAACAGAGACAGCUGGCCUCGGGGCCUCCCUCUCACUGCAUGCAAGAGCCUGUUAGGGCACAAGACUCAAGGCGCUGAGGGAGGCUGUUUCAGGAGGAAGCCGCAGAAGGAUGGUGGAGAGAGAAAGGGACAGCAUCCGCCGAGGGCCUACUGUGUGCCAGGCACUGUCCAGGGCUCCUGGCCCACAUGGGCUAAGUGAGCCUGGACACUCCUCCUGGGAGAAAGGCACAGAUGGAGAAAUUGCAGUUCAGGGAGGUGAAGCAAGCUGCUAGCCUGUGGCCACUUUGGGAUCUGAGCGCCAGCCUUCUAGCCACAAAGGCAGCCAAGGGUCAUGAAGAAGGCAUCACAGAGGCGAUUCCAGGCUGUAGUGGUGAACUCUCCACUCUGCACCCCCAGGUGCUGUGCCCUGUGCCCUGAUUAGAUAGUCCUGAAGGUUUCUACAUGUUUAAGAUAUCCCUAAUGUCAACGAUGCUCUCCUGUGGAUCCCAAGCUGUGGAGAUGUCCUGGGACUUUCCAUUUCAGGUUCCUAAAUUGAAUUUCCCAACACCUAGAAGCAACCCAGCUGCCCUGUAUCAGACCAAGGACCUUUAUUUGUGAUUCAGAAACAGUGGAAUAAAAGGAAAGGAAAGAAAACCCCAACAGCCACCUCAGCAGGAUGCCCCAAGGGUAGUGCUCUGGUGUCACUGACUCAGACAUGUGGGGGCUUCUGCCACCCACGCUCAAGAGCCACUUUGCCGUUUCACCUUCUCUGUGUCCUCCACAGCCCUCAGCAGCAUGCACGCCAAUAACAUGUUCACCACGAGGCUCAAAUCUUGGCAGAAGCUACAGAGUCCAACAUCCAGAGUACAGCAAGUGGAAGUUCACCAACAGCCUCACGUUCCUGGAGGUGCUGGAGGAGUUUCCAUCCCUGCGGGUGUCUGCUGGCUUCCUGCUCUCCCAGCUCCCCAUUCUGAAACCCAGGUUCUACUCCACGAGCUCCUCCCGGGAUCACAUGCCCAUGGAGAUCCACCUGACUGUGGCCGUG